AUUUAUAUAGUUUAAUUCCAAAACUUUACAUUUUCAUUGUAAAAAUAAAAAAUCAAUUUUUUAUAAAUA
rnacentral:tRNA from 1 species